rnacentral:tRNA from 1 species
AUUUAAAUAAUUUAAUAAAAAUAUUGAUUUGUGGUGUCAAAAAUAUGGGUAAGUUCAUUUUAAAUU